AAAAGAAGAGGCAAAGUUGGAAACUUUCACUCAUGCUUUAAAGUUUAAACAAGUUCCUCCUGUAGUAAACAAACUGUGAAGACUGUAAGAAGAAGAACAACAACACCAAUCAAGUAAUCGAGAGUUUGAUUGUGACUUAAGACAGAGAUAGAGAGAUGGAGUUUAAGGAGUUAAAAGAAGCAAUAGAGGGAAUAGAGCUCGUCGAUGGUCACGCACACAACAUUGUCUCUCUUGACUCGUCUUUCCCGUUCAUCGGAACUUUCUCCGAGGCCAACGGCGAAGCCUUGACCUUCGCUCCUCAUUCUCUCUCCUUCAAGAGGAACUUGAGGGAGAUUGCUCAACUUUAUGGCACUCAAGUAUCGUUAGAAGCAAUUGAGGAACAUCGUAAGACCUCUGGUUUGGAAUCUUUUACUUCCAAGUGUUUUCAAGAAGCUCGUAUCUCUGCUCUGCUCAUUGAUGAUGGAUUGAAGCUUGACAAGAAACAUGACAUUGAAUGGCAUAGAAACUUUGUUCCUUUUGUUGGUCGAGUCUUGCGUAUCGAAACUCUUGCUGAGCAAAUCCUCGAUGAGGAGAGUCCUACUGAUGCUUCUUCCACUUGGAGUUUGGAUUCUUUCACAAGAGCCUUUGUUGAAAGAUUAAAUUCGCUUGUUCCAGAGAUUGUUGCUUUAAAAACUAUUGCUGCUUAUCGUAGCGGUUUGGAUAUUGAUACUCAUGUGAGUAAAGAAGUUGCUGAGAAAGGCCUUGCUGAAGUCUUGCAAGCUGGAAGCCCCGUCCGCAUUGGAAACAAAGGCUUGAUUGAUUACAUUGUUACUUGUAGUUUGGAGUUAACUGAACGUUGCGACUUGCCCUUGCAGAUUCACACAGGUUUUGGUGACAGGGAUUUGGAUUUGAGGUUGUCAAAUCCUCUUCACCUUAGAACCCUUCUUGAAGACAAAAGAUUUGCAAAGUGUCGUAUUGUUCUUCUUCAUGCAGCUUAUCCAUUCUCAAAGGAAGCAUCGUUUCUGUCUUCAGUUUAUCCUCAGGUUUACCUUGAUUUCGGGUUGGCGGUUCCAAAGCUUAGUGUCCAUGGUAUGGUGUCUUCAGUUAAAGAGCUCCUUGACUUAGCGCCAACGAAGAAGGUUAUGUUCAGCACUGAUGGGUAUGCAUCUCCUGAGACAUACUAUUUAGGUGCAAAGAAAGCACGAGAGGUCAUCUUCUUAGUUCUGCGUGAUGCUUGUGCCAGUGGUGAUCUCUCACUCAUGGAAGCUAUUGAUGCAGCUAAAGAUAUUUUUUCAAGAAAUUCGAUUGAAUUUUAUAAGCUUGAUUUAAAGACAAAUUCUUCUAGUCCACAAAGUAUAGUAUCUCCCAAAUUAGAGAUGAAGGAGCCUGAUGUGCAAGAAGAUAGUAGUUCUUUCGUACGCAUUAUUUGGGUUGAUACAUCUGGACAACAUAGAUGCCGUGCUGUUCAAGCACAUCGUUUUAACAGUAGCGUGAAGAAGAACGGCGUUGGUCUGACUGUUGUAACAAUGGGGAUGACUUCAUUUGCUGAUGGACCAGCAGAAGGGUCUAAUUUGACCGGUGUGGGUGAGAUUAGACUGGUUCCAGAUCUAUCAACCAAGCAUACAAUACCUUGGACAAAGCAAGAGAGCAUGGUUUUAGGUGACAUGUACUUAAAGCCUGGUGAAGCAUGGGAAUACUGUCCAAGAGAAACCUUAAGAAGGGUCACAAAAGUUCUCAAAGAUGAAUUUGACUUGGUAAUGAACGCUGGUUUUGAGAAUGAGUUUUAUCUCCUCAAGAAUGUUGUCCGGGAAGGGAAAGAAGAGUAUGUGCCUUUUGACUUUGGUCCUUACUGCUCUGCAUCCUCAUUCGAUGCUGCAUCUCCGAUUUUCCAUGAAAUUGUACCCGCACUCGAGUCCUUGAACAUCACAGUUGAACAGUUUCAUGCUGAAUCCGGGAAAGGUCAGUUUGAACUAUCUCUCGGUCACACUGUUGCAUCUCAUGCUGCCGACAAUUUGGUUUACACACGUGAAGUUGUAAGAUCGGUUGCAAGGAAACAUGGAUUGCUUGCGACCUUUGUUCCAAAGUAUGAUUUAUGUGACAUUGGUUCUGGAUCACAUGUACAUCUAAGUCUUUGGAAAAACGGUGAAAAUGUCUUCCCGGCAUCUGAUAAGUCAUCUGCUCUUGGAAUCUCCUCCGUUGGUGAAGAGUUCAUGGCUGGAGUUCUGUUUCACCUUCCUUCAAUUGUAGCAAUUAUAGCUCCACUCCCAAACAGCUAUGAUCGGCUCCAACCUAAUACAUGGAGUGGAGCAUUCCAAUGCUGGGGCAAGGAAAACCGUGAAGCGGCUAUAAGAACAGCUUCUCCACCAGGAACUCCUGAUGGAAUAUUUACAAACUUUGAGAUCAAGACUUUUGAUGGCUCCGCAAAUCCUCACUUUGGUUUGGCUGCUAUAAUGGCUGCCGGUAUUGAUGGUCUCCGACGACAUCUCAAACUACCUAAUGGAAUAGAUGUAAAUCCGGCAGAUGUUGCUGCUACAUUGAGCAGGCUUCCAGAAUCGCUCUCAGAAGCUGUUGAAGCUCUGGACAAAGAUGAAGUUCUCCAUGAACUGCUCGGACAAAAGCUUGUAGUUGCCAUAAAAGCAGUCCGUAAGUCUGAGGCCGAGUAUUAUUCCAAGAAUCCAGAUGCAUAUUGAACCGCAUUUUCAACGCUGGACUCCUGCCGGAGAUGGAAAUAAAUGGUGACGCAGUUGAGAAUAACGUAGAUCCUCCAGCGGUGAUUCCUGAAAGUACACUCGGGAUGCUCUCGACUCUGCUAAUCCCACGAAUCCAGAUCAUCCAGAGGGUGAGAAUAUCACAGAUCCUCAGCCGCCUUCUGUAUAUUUUGUUGAAACAAACGAUGGACAACUUCCUCCGCGUCUAUGUCGAUCACUUGUCCUCCACUUCCAAACGGUGGACAACUUGUCAGAGGUGCCAACUUUGUCUACUGCCAGAGUUGGCAACUUUGUCUACUGCCAUCAUUUUAUAGUGGACAAUGGACCUACAACAUCGCCAAAGGUGUCAACUUUGUCUACUGCCAUCAGUUUGUCCCCCAGCUCUCUUAUAUUGGACACUGUUACAUCACACACGCGAUGUUCCCGGGUGACCAUUACAUCAACAUUGUCCACCACCAUAAUAUUGUCCUCCGUUUCUAAUUCAGUAACCACAUUUACCUCAUAUAGCUCCUCUUCUAGAUUUGAUUCCACUCUAGUCCUAUUGUCUACCUGCGGAGAUCUUGUGGACAACGUCUCUGCAUUCAUGGACACCUGCUCUGCAUACUUGUCUACAUUCUCAUUAUUGUCCACCACUUUAGCCAACUUAGCAGGCCAAUCAACAUACCACCUCAAUUAAUACUUCCGUCGUC